rnacentral:rRNA from 1 species
UACGGGGGGGGCAAGCGUUGUUCGGAAUUACUGGGCGUAAAGGGCUCGUAGGCGGCCAACUAAGUCGGAUGUGAAAUCCCCAGGCUUAACCUGGGAACUGCAUCCGAUACUGGAUGGCUUGAAUCCGGGAGAGGGAUGCGGAAUUCCAGGUGUAGCGGUGAAAUGCGUAGAUAUCUGGAGGAAUACCGGUGGCGAAGGCGGCAUCCUGGACCGACAUUGACGCUGAGGAGCGAAGCUAGGGGAGCAAACGGG